UCCUGGUUCUGGCGGCUGAGGGCCGGGUGGCGCAGGGUGGCCUCCGGGGACUCCGGCUGUGCCCAUGGGAACUAAAACCUUUGGUUCUAGAAGAGCUGGGGGAGAGGCUCCGGGAAGACCGAAUUCUUCAGAAAUCGCAGAGAGACCUUGGACCGGAUCCUUCUCUGCAGGGCUGGGUCGGGGAGGCGCCGGCACAAGUAUAUUCAAUGACUUCCUUGGAAGCGCCUACGUUAGAAUACUACAAACUUACAAGCUAGUUGAUGAGUUUACCUUCCACUAGAAAAGAGAGUAUGGGAAGGCAGAGGCCGCGUGGCUUGGACCCCCGUCUUUGCUGUCAGGCUUCCAGAGUGAAGGUGGGGCUCAUACUCAGACUAGUUCCUGGUCCAUUCAUUCAUUCAGUCAAUCAGUCAUUCCUACAGGGCCAGAAACUUUUUUUUUUUUUUUUGAGACGGAGUUUCGCUCUUGUUGCCCAGUCUGGAGUACAAUGGCGUGCAGCUCACUGCCUCAGCCUCCCGAGUGAGUAGCUGGGAUUACAGGCAUGUGCCAGCACAUCCGGCUAAUUUUUGUAUUCUUAGUAGAGACAGAGUUUCUCCAUGUUGGCCAGGCUGGUCUCGAAUUCCCGACCUCAGGUGAUCUGCCCGCCUCGGCCUCCCGAAGUGCUGCAAUUACAGGCGUGAGCCACGGCGCCCGGCCCAGAAACGUGUUUUGAAGGGCAGGCACCGCACAGGGUGCUGGAGACAGACUGAAGGAAACUGCACCUCUCAGUGACUCAAGAGAGAUUUGUUGAGUAUCUACCAAGUGCCUAGGGCUGUUCUUGUCCCUGGGGAUUCAGCCUCUGGAUUGGGACCCGCAGCCCAGAGAAGGGAAAUGGGGGAAAUCCAAGUUCCCAGGUACAUCAUGAUACCGUUCCAGCCUCUCCUUCCUGGAAAUCGCCAUCAUCAGCCGCCAUAGCACCCCCAUGGGACCUGGGGGAUGGAGUUGGAAGCCCCCUCCCGCAACGCUGGCCAGAUUGGAGGGACCAGCAGGGAAGCUCCCUCCUACCCCCAGGGAGGCUGAAGCCAGCUCUCCAUGGCCGCGAAACCUGGAACCCAGGACACUGGGAGGCAGGCCAGCACGGAGGGGAUUCAGCCAAUGACUGGGAAUUGAGUGAAAAACCAAAGAGGACGGCCAUGAGAUCUGUCUGCUACAGCCGCACGGUAUUCCAGCACAAGGAUGUAUGGUAAUUUACAGAUGCACUUCUCGGCAGAGGGACCUUCAGGUUGCUUCCAGCCCUUUCUGAAGACAGGCAGUGCUGUGGU